rnacentral:lncRNA from 1 species
UUAAUUCACUUAUUUCCUACCUAAGAUUUUAAUUUCUAUACAUAAUUAAACACAAAGACACACACAAAAUACACGAUAUCAUCACGCACCAAAACUAUACAUUUCAAAAUACUUUCUGAAUCAUCCUGUACCAAAUCAUACAGCAAGCACAAGAUACUCAGAUUCCUCACAUUACUGAACCAGAUCACACAACAAGUAUAAUGUACCAUACAUCUGCACCAGAUUAUACAGCAAGUGCAGUGUACCCAAAUUCCACACGUACACACACUAGUUAUACAUUUCAUG